rnacentral:lncRNA from 1 species
UGGUGUCAAUUUUUUUGGGUUAGUAAAGUCUAAGUGUAUUAUGGUCAAAAUGGGGUUUUGGUGUCCCUUUAUUGAAAACUCGAGAGUCUUUGUGACAUUUUCUCAAAUGUUGGGGGUGUAAUGUCCUUUUCCCUAAUUUAUAUGACCAAUUUUUAAUAUAAAAUGAGGUUGUCUAUCUUAAAAAAGGAUUUGUGUGACCAAUUCUAAAAAUAAUGGGGUCUUUGAUACAAAUUUUUAUCAAAUUAAAGGAGUAUUGGUGUCCCUUUCUAGUCUAAUUAUCUUUAUAGUUUGAUCAAAGAUUCUAUGAUAUAUUUAUGGGAGCUAGACUCUGAUAUAAUGUUAGGAUAUUAUGCUUCACAACGUUAAAUAAUUAGACUUUAUUGAUUUUUGUUAAGAAUCAUGUUAAGUUCAUGUCACUUACACUCUUUGUAAAAUUCAUGUAGACCCAACAUGAAUAUUACAAUCUUUUGCAUGUUUUGUGAUAUUUUAAGUUACAUAAAAAUGUAACUUAAUAUAAACAUUUUGUUAAUUUCAUAAUUAUCUAAAAGUGUCUUAGCUCUAGGGUAUGAUACCAUUAUCAAGCUACCGUAGUUUGACACUUGGACACUUGAAGCUAUUGUAUGACUAUUUCUUUUUUUUCUUUUUUUUGGGGGAUCCUUUUAGCGGAUUGGUAGAAAAAAGAAUUGGAAAAAGAAAAAUAUUUCCAGUCCACAAAAAUGGGUGAGCUAAGAGAUGAGUGACUCUAUCGACCAAUAGUCUUUAGUUGCGUAAGAGUACUCUAUUGGGCUCAAUUUGUCAGCUACAUAUAUUAAUGAACCUCGACCCAAAAGAUUUCGACGUGAGCAGGUCCAACACCAACUAAUAAAGUACAUAAUGUCUUAAGGAUGCGUUUGGUACACGUAUUGUAUUAUGUUGUAUUGUAUUAUUUUAAUAUUGAUGUAUUGUAUUAUGUUGUAUUGUAUUAACAUUGUAUUAUAAUAAUAUUGUAUAAUGUUUGAUACUAUACUGUACUGUAAUAAUUUUUUUUGAUUAAUUUAAAUUAAAUAUUAUAUUAUAUUAAUAUAUUUAAAUUGCAUUAAUAUUUUAUGUUAUUAUUUAUAUUAUUAUUAAUUUUAAAUUAAUAUUAUUCAUAUUUAUUCAUAUUUAAAUAUUUUUAUUAGUUAUAAUAAGUUAUAAAUUUAUUAAUAAAUUAUAAUGUAAAAAUAAAAAAAUAUACUAUUAUUGAAUGAUAAAUUAUUUAUUUAUUAAUUUAUAUUAAUAAUUAUAAUGUAAAAACAAAUAAAAUAAAAAUAUUAUAUUAAAUUAAAAACUAUACUUAUGUAUUAUUUUAGUAUUAUGAUAAUAAUAAAGUAAAAAGCAAAAGUUAAAAGCCAAAAAAAAAAAAAAAACAAAGCUAAUGCGUCAAUUGACGCAUUAGCCCCCCACCCCAAUCCCUUGCAAUUUUGUUCCAAACAUAGGUUUGGUAUUAUUUUAAUGUGAACAGUAUUAUAAUACAUCAUAAUCACAUGCACCAAACACACCCUAAAAGAAUAUUUAAAUAUAGACACAAACGUCGUGAUGGGUUAAAAAAAAAGGGAGAUACUUUCGUCAACAAAUUUUUUUUAAUCAAAAUUAUUUAAAUUUACUCCUGGAAUGUUACUUUUGGUGAAAUAUCAUUAAGAUUUAGAUUACUUAAAAUAUGGAACAUUACAACGAUUAAUUAUUAUAUUAAUUAAUUUAAUAUUUAGAAGUCUAUAAGUCCAAUUUAUAUUAAAAAAUUAACUUAAAAGCUUAAGGUUGUAUCAAAUUUAUCGUCUCACUUUAUAAGAACUAUUCUCAAUUAAUGUGAGAUAUUCUUCUCAACUUGAAAAGAUGUUCUAGAAGAAAGUUAACUGCAAAGUUAAUCACAAUAGUUGUUUUAAGGGUAAGUACUCAUUGGUCCUUAUAAUUUGAGUCGAUUAUCUUGUAAUCAGUCUUUAGAUUUUUUGAAAUUACCUAAAACACCCCUAUUAGAUGACAUUUCAUUGAUAAAAUAGCAUUUCCAUCUAAUCUAACGCACAAUUCAAACAAAUCUUUACAUGCAACAGAUGCGAAAAAAAAUGAUAAAUUUAAAGUAGAUUUAAAUAAAAAUAAAUGUAUAACAAGGUAUUUUGAGUAAUAUUUGAAAUUACAUAAAUAAACUGGAUAAUUGAACUCAAACUAUAGAGACUAAUAGAACAUUUAACUCCUGUUUUAAAAUAAUCAAAAUUGUAUGAAAUGAUUUUAAUGCUAUAUUUUUAUUUAUUAUAAAAUUUUGGUGUCAAAUAUUUUGGGUUUAUAAAGUCUAAGUGUGUUAUGGUCAAAAAAAGGUUUUUGUGUCCUUUGUUGAAAACUUGAGGGUGUUUGUAACCAUUUUUUCCAACAUUUGGGAAUGUAGGUAUUUUUUUUCCUAAUUUAUAUGACCAAUUUCUAAUAUAAAAUGGGGUUGUACAUCUUUUAAAAAAAAAGUUUGUGUAACCAAUUUUAAAAGUAAUGGGGUCUUUAUUACAUUUUUUAUCAAAUUAAAGGAGUAUUAGCGUCCUUUUCUAGUCUAAUUAUCUUUAAAGUUUGAUCAAAGAUUUUAUAAUAUAUUCAUAGGAGCUACAUUGUGACAUCUUACUUCACAUCCUAACACCAUAAUUAGAAUUAGAUUAUUUUUGUUAAUUUCCUAAUUAUCUAUCAGAGUCCUAGUUAUAGGCUAUGGUACCAAGCUAACAUAGUUGAACACUUAGAGCUAUUGUAUGACAAUUUUUUUUUUUUUUCUUGUUAACGGAUGAUAGAAAAAAGAAUUGAAAAAAUAUCAAUAGUCUUUAGUUGCUUAAGAAUACUCCAUUGGGCUAUAUCAAAGACACAGCCACAGCCACAGCGAAUAGAUAACUGCAAGUGGACCCUUGUGGGCCAGUCUCUUUAUUUUGUUAAGGACUGUACCUUAAAUAUACACGAAGUGAGCAGGUCCAAUACCAACUUAUAAAAUACAUAAAUGUCUUAAAAGAAUAUUUAGAUUUAAACACGAUAGUCGUGAUGGGGGAAAAAGUAAGAUACCUUGGUCAACAAAAUUUUUUAAUCAAAAUCCUGAUAUAUUAUUACUCCUGAAAUGUUACUUUUGGUGAAAUAUCAAUAAGAUUUAGAUUACUUAAAAUAUGGAACAUUAUAAUGAUUAAUUAUUAUAUCAAUUAAUUUAAUAUUUAAAAGUCUAUAAGUCUAAUUUAUACUAAAAAAUUAACUUAAGAGUUUAAGGUUGUAUCAACCUUAUCUCGUUAAUUUAUAUGAACUAUUCUCAAUUGACGUGGGAUAUUCUUCUCAACUUAAAAAGAGGUUGUAGAAGAAACGUUAACCGUAAAUAAUAUUUCUAUCAAAUGUAAGGUACAAUUCAAACAAAUCUUUGCAUGCAAUAGAUGAAAAAAGAAAAUUGAUAAUUUUUAAGUAAAUUUAAAUAAAAAUAAAGAUACAACAUGAAUAUUUUGAGUAAUGUUUGAUAUUGCUGAAAUAAACUGGAUAAUUGAACUCAAACUAUGGAGAUUAAUAGAAUACUGUGGUUUAAAAUUAAGUAAAAUUGUAUGAAAUGAUUUUAGUUUAGUCCAAUAUUUCCACUCCUUGCCUGAAAUCAUAGCACACGUGCACGAGGUAUCAAUCAACAUAUAUGGUGAUUGCUGCAGCAUUUUAUGAUUCUUUAUAAUACGGAGUUAUCAUUUUCUUGAAUGACAACUUUGAUUGUGAAAAAGCCAGCGCACACAAGAAGCUGUAGGAAGCUAUGAGUGCUAAAUUCGAUGUAGUUCAAGGUACAAUGAUUCUAAGGUGACAAAACAAGUUAUUAAUAAUUAAAGACAUAUUUGUAAGAUGAGUGUUAUGAAAUGGGAUCAGGUUGGUUACGGUGUAACUGUGGUACCGUAUCAUAGUUGUAUCCAACAGUUGAAUGCACAUAGAUUAGUAGGGUUUAUUAGCAUCCAACGGCUGAAUGCAAUUAUAGCAUGGUACCACAGUUGCACCACAUGUUUCUCCUAUGAAAUGAUCAAACACAAAAAAUUCAAUAUAAAAUGUCAUGAUUAUAAAUGAGAUAUUUUGAAUAAAAAAGAAAAUUCUCGAUAUUAUUGCUGGCACAUUUUAGUAUGCCACGGCAGAUUUCUCCAUAAUAUAUAGAAAAUAUUUACAAGAAAAAAAAUGAUGGAAUAAAAUCUAUUUAAAGCGUACGAAAUGCAUGCCAAUAUGUAAACAUGUUUUUAAUGUGAAAGGGGAAAGGUUCUUUCUCAGGACUGAAUGAUCGAUGGGGACCCAGAUAGGCCUUUAACCAUUAUUUCAUUGUCCGAGUGCAUUGGAUAUGAUACCCUUUUCAUUUACAAUUUUGGAACGUCAAGUAGCAUCCCAUAAAAGAUAACUUUAUCACAUAAAAAAACUCUUAAAAUCAAAUGAUUUGAUUAGCUUCAAUUGACUUGAGUAAUUAACCAGUAACGCAGAUUCAUGUAUCGAUUACAUCCCAAAUACAGUUAAGUCAGUUCCCUUGGUGAUAUAAAAACUCAGCUGGAGUAACUUUCUGCUUGUUCUUUUGCUCUCGAUUCAAUUUUUAAUCAGCACCCAUCAUUUUCUUUUUACUUUUUUAUUCUAGUUUCAUGUUAACAAUGGAUUACGACGAGGUUUUGGUGUGCUUACGUUGAUGAUUAAAAGAGUUGUUGGCCCACCGAAAUUUCAAAUGUUACUAAAACAUACAAUUUUUUGAAUUUACUUCUUGUCGAGUAUAGUCCAUCUAAAUAAAACUCAGUUUGAAAAUUUGCUCCUAUAAGAAAUAGAGAAGUCUGGGGACGGAACUCGGAUUAAUAUUUUAAGGGGUCAAAGUUUUAUAAAACUACUCUCUAAGGAGUUAAAAAAAUGUAUUUAAUUAUUAGCUUACACUGUUAAAAUAUUAAACUUACUGGGGUCGAAUCAUAAAAAAAAAAAAAAAACUCGAUUUUAAAAGGUGAAUUUGUAAAUUUAUCUCAUACCUAUAUUUAAUUUUUUUUUAAGACCAGCAGGUGUAUGGUAUUAGCUCAUCAAUUCUUAAAUUAAGAGAAAUUCUACUCCCACUGUUACUAAGAAUAUUUAAAGUAAGAAAGCGUUUGCCUCUACAGACUAGAGUACUAGUGAAACAAGGAUAGGUCUACAAGCUGGCAAUGGCAUAUAUAAUUUAUUAAUUCAUUUGAAAAAGAUAAGAAAGGCGGUGACAUUUGACAUCGUAAUUAAGUAGUCUCUGAAAAGUUUUUAUAUUACUGCCGCGAAAUUUUAUUAAUUUAAAAAAAAAAAAAAGAAGAGGAAGAAAUAAGAUUACAAAUUAGUCAUGGAAAAUGAUACUUGAGGAGACAUCAAGAGUCUUCGUGCGAACUUUUAAUAUAAAAAUAUAAGGCGCACGUGAAUGAUCAAUUCAAAUACUUAAAUUAGGAGAGAUUUAGAGUACUAAA